rnacentral:rRNA from 1 species
UACGUAGGGGGCUAGCGUUGUCCGGAAUCAUUGGGCGUAAAGCGCGUGUAGGCGGUCCGGUAAGUCCGCUGUGAAAGUCGGGGGCUCAACCCCAGGUCUGCCGUGCGAACUGGUGGACUAGAGCACUGUAGAGGCAGGUGGAAUUCCGGGUGUAGCGGUGGAAUGCGUAGAGAUCCGGAAGAACACCGGUGGCGAAGGCGGCCUGCUGGGCAGUUGCUGACGCUGAGGCGCGACAGCGUGGGGAGCAAACAGG